GUAAGCCCUGAUUUUUAAUGAUAUCUUGUGUGAGUUUCCUUCUUCUACUGAACACACACAUUCAAACGUCAGUGGCUACCAGCAACUGUUUGGUUACUGACAAUUUUCUCUCUAUAUACAUAUAUUUGUGUUCAACAGAAGAAGAAAAAUUUGGAAUAACAUGAGGAUGACUUUUGUGUAAAAUAUCCCUUUAACUCCUAUUAAUUCCCAGUAUUGGACAUCCAGUACUGGAUUCAAAUCAUGUCAUUCCGAGAGCAGCUUGAGAUGGAGCCGUCCACAGAUGGUCAGUGUUGUGUACACCCAGAGCACAGUGAACUGCGAGGUUGAACGGGCCAGGCAAAGGGUCCACAGAGAAAGGAUGUAUAUACAUUAAAAUGGGAGAAGGAGCACUAACUGGCAUCUGGAGCAUCAGCGGCCAAUCUGGUGCACAUACCACUCAGUGGAGGAACAGGACCACAGGGAAUGUCUGGACAUGCAAAAAGUUUAUGCGGAGUGGAAGAUCAGUGAAAUGCCAAAUGUCAGAACCAGAGAGGAUGAGAAUAUAGCAUAAACGACCUUUUAAACUUUGCUGAUCUUUGAUAAGGCCACAAAUGGAGCAUCUUGGUCCUUCAUCCGUGUUGCUUGUCUCACUCUACCUGGGCUGUUAUCUAACAGGUAGACGCCUGGGCAACUGUGGACUGUGAUGGCAGUAUGUGAUAGCUAGAGCUUUUAAGCACAUCAUCAGACAGACAAUAGAACUGAGAUCAGAGGUGGAUCAUUAAUAAUAAAAAAAUAUGCUUCAUGGUUUUUAAAAGCAUUUUGUUGAUCUCAAACUUGCAAAUCAUGUCCAGAAAAAUCGCUUCCACAAUGCUAGGGUGUUCUGAUGCAAAGACGUUGCUAGGUGGUUGCUAGGACAUUCUGGAUGGUUAAAGAGCCCUAAUUUAAGUAUUAUUUAUAGAAUAUUAUAGUUUUUAUUAAUAUUUUGAAUUAGCUUAUAUUAUAUUUAUAUUUUCAAUUUAUUUAAAAUUAAGUUUUAGUAAUUUAAUGUGCUUUUGUCAUUUUUUAUUUAUUUUUUUAUAUUUCUGUUUUUAACUUUUUGAUAUUUUAAAAUUUUUUAAUAUUUAUAAAGUUUAAAGUUAUUUCAGUUUAAGUAGUUUCAGUAAGUUGACAAGGCAACAUUUCUUAUUUUUAUUUUCUAAUAAAAUAUUUUAAGUUCUAAUAUUUACAUUUCAUUUUAUUUCAGCUUUAUUACAGUUACCUAAAGCUGAUGAUUAAUAGGUUUGUAAUGAUAAUAAUUAUAAAUAAUAAUAAAGAUUAAUAAUUGUCAUUUUAUAGUGCAGUAUUUUUUUAAUAUAUGCUAU
ensembl:lncRNA